rnacentral:rRNA from 1 species
UACGUAGGGAGCAAGCGUUGUCCGGAAUCAUUGGGCGUAAAGCGCGCGUAGGUGGCCUCGUAAGUCCGCUGUGAAAGCCAAAGGCUCAACCUUUGAAAGCCGGUGGAUACUGUGGGGCUAGAGUACGGAAGAGGCGAGUGGAAUUCCUGGUGUAGCGGUGGAAUGCGCAGAUAUCAGGAGGAACACCAAUAGCGAAGGCAGCUCGCUGGGACGUUACUGACACUGAGGCGCGAAAGCGUGGGGAGCAAACAGG